GCGUCAGUAAAACUCUUCACUAAGGUGACAAUGGUAAAAAUCCACGGAGGUGGAAUUGAUAAAGGUCCACGAAGGUGGCAACAAUAAAAGUCCACGGAGGAGGCAACAAGAAAAGUAUACAAACGUGACAAUGAGGAAAGACCACAGAGCAGGCAGUGAGAAAAGAUCACAGAGGUGGCAACGAGAAAAGACCACAAAGGUGGCAACAAGAAAAGACUACAAAGGUGACAAAGAGAAAGGACUAGGAAGGUGGCAACACAAAAAGCCACAAAGGUGGGAACGAGAAAAGACCACGAAGGAGGCAACAAGAAAAGACCAUAGACGUGGCACCCGAGUUACUUAGAUGACACCAUAAGUUUUCCAUGCGACGUACCAAAAGGCUUCUAAACGAGGCACCAAAAGCUCUCUAAGUGAGGCACCAGAAGCCCUCAAAGCGAGGCACCAGAAGCCCUCUAAGUGAGGUACCAAAAGCCUUCCAAGUGAGGUACCAAAAGCCCAUCAUGCAAGGCACCAUAAG
rnacentral:lncRNA from 1 species